CGGCAGAUCUCCCACAGUAAUUGAAAUGCAAAGAGGAGAGGUGUCUGGAAGGAUAAGCCAUCUGACUGGAGAAAGGGCCAUAAGGGGAAACUAUACCAGAGUGACAUUGUCAAGUCCUUGCUCUGCUGCAGUCCAUGAAGCUGCUUGCUGCACCAGUCAACUCGUCAUCCGGGAGCGGGAGUCUGUGCCCUCAAACAUGUGCUGGUCAGAUAUACCUGGGUCACAGGCAAAGUUUUAGGUGGAACGGUGGCUUGUGGAAUGACGAAGUCCGGGACUCGCUCACUUAACUGAAGCCCCCCCAGUCUAGAAGAAGGACCAGGAGAAAAGGCGAUGCCCAAAAGCCCCGGGCCCAUGAACGCAGAAACACAUCUUCACAAAACCAGACAGAACAACUCCACGGCUGACAUCGGGACCUGAUUCAAAGAUCAAUGACUCCAUACCCCAGCCGCAGCCAAUCAGUUGAGCCCCCGACCCCAACUCCCUUAGCCACCAUGAUUCAUAAUUUUUCCCAUACAUAAUCUGUCUCAGUGCAAACCAUCUGGGAGCCAGUCUUAGAGCAUUAGCUCACCUGUGACCCCAGGCUUGGUGCCAUUUCCUUAA